AAUUGGUAUCAACCGGGGCUGAUUGAUUGAUCCAGCAAUAGCAGGUGAGACUGAGCAUCUUGUUGGGAUGGUUUUCCCUGAAAUUCGUAUGAGUGUGAAUUUUACUUUGAUUCCUGCCUCUAUCGAUUCCUUCUCUGAAACUAGGGGCAUAGAACGGGAGAGAGGCAAAAGGUAAUUUAAUAGCUUAAAACAUCCCCGGAUGCAUUGUUUUUCACUUUUGUCGUUGGUUCUCAUGGACGUGAAGAUCUGUGCUGUUAAAAAAGUAGCUGGUCUCCGCCCCUUCUAUUAGUAGGGCUGCGUAUCCGUAAAUCCACUUCUAAGUGGUCGAAGGCACAGUCUUCAUCUCCUUUAAAAAAAUUGAAAGUAUUUACUGAACAAACAACACUUGAUUUAAUAGAAGUUAGACCAUAGCCUAUAGUAAAGGUGCCACACUCCCCGAUUAAUAUGAUCCUACGGCUCCGGUUAAUUAUAUAAUUACCACUGCUACUAAGUAG
rnacentral:misc_RNA from 1 species